UGGAUUUUUAUCUGAGAUCUACAACUUAUGAAGAAUAUAAGUGAUAUAUAUAUAAGUGAUUAUAUGUGUAAUAUAUAUAAGUGAUAUAUAUUCUUUUCUACUCUUCAUGUAUGGAAUAAAAGGGCUUGCACAUAAGAAAAAAAUGGCUUAGGCCCACAGGAACAAAGAAACAGGACAGGAGUUAGAUGCAGAGAAGAGAUUUCAACAAAAGUUUGGAAAAGAUGCUAACGGUAGCAUAUGAGUCACAGACAGAAUAUUGGCACCUUUUUUUUAAGAAACUGAAUGUUAAUGUCACAUCUGCCUUUGGAGAUUACAAAUGAAAUGGCUACCUUUCUACUGGAACUCUGACCAGAAGCCUGCCAAUUAGUAAGCUGGCUUAAGAGAUCAAUCUAAAAUUUACAUAAGGCUUUUGAAAAAAAGAAAAAAGUAGGCCUUUAAAAAAGCCAAAAGGAAACUGGUGGAAUUAGAGGUAAUUCAGGG
rnacentral:sRNA from 1 species